AUUGGCGUAACGGCACCAGUCUGUAGUGAUAUCUGCGGCUUUCUCGCUGACGUAAUAUUGACUGAUCCGAAUGUUUACUUUGGACACGAUCACUUAGAGUCGCACAUUGCGCUCUUUCCCUCUCCCAGUCUCCGUCUCUCUGCUCGUCCCCUUUGCUUUCCUCCGGCGUUCACGCAAAGAUCCUAAUCCAUUCCCAGCUGAAAGGGUCACCUUAAAGGAGUUUUCUUUUCUUUUUGCGUGUGCGCGCGGACGACCCCUCUUGGGAUUCUAUUCUGUUCGAGUCGAGCUGGUGGAGAGCCGUGGAAAGAUACCACAGGUGAAUGGAGCUUUAACGACGCUGCGGUAUUGAUGAUUGAACAGUUUAAGGUUUCCAUGAGCGCAAUCUGUGCCUGAUUUGACAGAAGCCGAGUCUUUCGCGGCACUUUGUGAUAACUGAAGCGGACCGAGUUAGCUUCCCCCCCCCCCCUCCUUUUUUUUUUUUUUUUUGUUGAAGACAUAAAAAAAAAUUCUCCUCUGGCUUUCCUAAAGGAUGAUAUGACAUUUUCUUUUGCGCAGUGGUGGCUGCUUUCCUACCAAUUUCUUGGAUCUUUGUCAUGCCUUUCUGCAGGAUUACUCACGGAGAUAUGAGCGCACUAAGAAAUCGAGUUGGAUUGUAAAACAAAAUUGAGAUACAUUCUUUAAAACAAAAACCCUUGCUCCUUUUUUAAAUUAUUAUUAUUUUUCACCAAAGCGGGAAGUGCUGCUUUGUGGUAAUCAAUGGCUUCGGUGCCGAGGUCGGCAAGGCGCAAAGAUGCCACUCGCUGGCCGAGGAUGUCGUCAACUUUUUGGGCUGUGGUGCUCCUGACGGCGCUGUUGGUUCUCUACUGCGGCCAGCUGGCAGCGGGGACAUGUGAGAUUGUGACGUUGAACAAGGACAGCAGCCAACCACGACGGACCAUCGCCAGGCAGACGGCCCGCUGCGCCUGUAAGAAGGGCCAGAUCGCCGGAACUACAAGAGCCAGACCUGCCUGUGUGGACGCUGGGAUUGUUCGAAAAAGGCAGUGGUGUGAGAUGGUUCCGUGUUUGGAGGACGAAGGCUGUGACCUGUUAGUCAAUAAAUCUGGAUGGACUUGUACACAGCCAGGAGGCCGAGUCAAAACCACCACGGCUCUAUGACGCGACAAGAGUUCCCCUCGACAUUCUUGCACUAUGGAGAGCAUUGAUGACCCCUUGACAGACAGCCAAAACCCACCAACCAACACCACCACCCACAACCCCACCCUAACCCUGAUCGCACAGCACCAAGGGCUUCUUUGACGCUGCAAGGUGUCAUAACACAACCAGAGGUGCCAAACACGGGAGUGACCGACGGUGGGAGUUUGUGCUCUUGAGGGGUUUCGGACAAACUUACUAUUAAAACACUUCCCACCUCCUGUGACUCGCACCUCCGCGUCGCCGACCGCUCCCUCACGCCGUCUGUCACCGGGUCAGCGCCUUCCUCCUCGUCAAUGCAUCUGCCUGUUUGAUGAAAAACUUUUAUUACGCCGCAGAGGACCGGACACCUUAAAAUGCUUUUCGUUCUUUUUGUCAUUGGAAGUCCAAUUUUUAAGGAGCUGCUCGCUGCAUUUUCAGAACAAAAGAAAAACAAAAAAAGGGAUUCCCACACCACCAAACACCAUCGCCACCUCUCCAAGUCUUUCUGUAGUGCUGGAGUUUCCAGAGCACAGCUGGGAUCAUUACAGACCGAACCCUGUUGCUUCAGACCACUUGACGAGGCCGUAAAAACCAAACUGUGCGCUCUCUGCUGUGAAUAGGCCUUCUGCUGGAGUCAAACUCCUUUAUUUUUAUAGACCAAAGAGCAAAACCACAACAAAUAUGAUCAUUAGAACAAGAGGUGGCAAAAGAAACGUAUUCCUCUUUGGGGGGGAGGGGUUGCUACACAAUCUCUCUACGCGAACAAUCGAAUCAAUGGAGUCCUUUUGAAACCUUCUGGACUUUUUCUCUUUUCUUCAGACUGAAGCCCACAACUUGUAUUUUGGAACUGGAACUAUAGGUACUGCAUACGUAUAACUAUGUAUCAACAACAACGAAAAAAAAAACAAAAAAAACAAAAAUCUGAUUUGUGAUUUUUCAGUAGCAAUGGUUUUCGGACAGAAUCAUGUCGAAGGAAAUGCUACACGUCUACAGGAGGGUACGGACGGAUGGCGUCAAGUCGGAACGGGAAGAGCAAAGAAUUGCCAUUAAAUGUAUUUUGAAAGGCCCUUAAAAAGUUAUAUAUUUAACAAUUUUAUAUGUUGUACCUUUGUAGAGAAGCUUAUUGGACUUAAAUGUGGUCACAAUGGCAGUUUAGUAGAACGUGAACAAACGCUGUUCUCAUUACUGCUGGCUCGUAGUCUAUGGUUUUCUGUUCACACCUCGGUAGCUGCUUUCUUUUCAUGGUCAUCUAAAGUCACAGUCUUAUUAGAACCAUUAACGACAAGAAAAGAAAAAAAAAACAGGAGAGCGACACAAUUUCUUGAGGACUGAUGUGCAGCCAACAGAACAUUGUAAAUCUAUGGUAGUGAGUGGACGCCAUUGAAAUCUGCUAAUUUGCUAUGAUAUUGUAUUGUACACGAUGUGGAAUACUGAUUCAUUUCCCCCUCAACGGGUUUUGAUCUCUUAAUUUAUUUUGGUGCUUGUGUUCGUUCGCACAAAUCCAGCCUCUCUCCGUUGGCAAUCCGGACAAUGAAGGAAGCAGAGAGGAACGGUACCGAAAGGAAGCACUGCAAACAUAGUCAUAUAAAUACAUUUUUUAUCAUGAAAUAUUUUAAGAAUAAAUUAAAUACAUGGAAAAAAA